CACAGGCUUAACAUGAUAGAUUCAAGUUACGCAGGGGGGGCAUGUUAUUUUAAAUAAAAUGUCCCCCUUACUUGUUACUUGAAUCUAUCAUGUUAAAGUGUUUCUGAAGUGGCAACUUGAGAAUUAUUAGAAAUCUUGAAAGUUUGUUUUUUAAAGCAAUCAAGCAUAGUAAGACAUUUUUAAAAUAAAUUGGAUUUUUUAUAAAGCUGAAUGUAAUUUUUCUUGAACUGAUGCAAAAGCUUGCUAAUUUUUCUAACAUUCUUUUGCAGUUCGAGAUGCCGCCCAGGGUCAGUCCACGCAAGGAUGCCCUUAACCAUGUUUGCUGGAAGACUGACAAAACCAGCAAAUUAGAGGUCAAAUACAUCAAUGCAGUGAAAGGACGUGGUGUAUUUGCCUUAGCCUCAUUCUCCAAAGGAGAUUUUGUACUAGAGUACAGAGGGGACCUGAUUGAUGGUGCAGAAACCAACAGAAGACGAAGCAUUUACCACCCAGCAUGUUUGGCAUUUAUGUUCUCUUUCAAAUGGAGAAGGAAGAAAUGGUGUAUUGAUGCCUCAAGAGAUGAUGGAUCGUUUGGACGGCUUGUCAACGAUGAGCACAGUCAUCCAAAUUGUAGGAUGAAAAAACUUAAUU